rnacentral:rRNA from 1 species
AUUGAACGCUGGCGGCAGGCCUAACACAUGCAAGUCGAGCGGAUGACGGGAGCUUGCUCCUUGAUUCAGCGGCGGACGGGUGAGUAAUGCCUAGGAAUCUGCCUGGUAGUGGGGGACAACGUUUCGAAAGGAACGCUAAUACCGCAUACGUCCUACGGGAGAAAGCAGGGGACCUUCGGGCCUUGCGCUAUCCGAUGAGCCUAGGUCGGAUUAGCUAGUAGGUGAGGUAAUGGCUCACCUAGGCGACGAUCCGUAACUAGUCUGAGAGGAUGAUCAGUCACACUGGAACUGAGACACGGUCCAGACUCCUACGGGAGGCAGCAGUGGGGAAUAUUGGACAAUGGGCGAAAGCCUGAUCCAGCCAUGCCGCGUGUGUGAAGAAGGUCUUCGGAUUGUAAAGCACUUUAAGUUGGGAGGAAGGGUAGUAAGUUAAUACCUUGCUGUUUUGACGUUACCGACAGAAUAAGCACCGGCUAACUCUGUGCCAGCCGCCGCCGUAA